AUGGCCAAAACUUCAACUGGUUCUGAAAAGUUCCGUAUCCAGAUUGAAGAGCAAGCUCGUGCUAUAGCAGCCACCCAGGAGCGAAACUCUCAGCUCAGCCAGCAGGUCAAUGACUUAGAAGAUCAACUACAAGCUGAACGUGCUAACACACAAGAGAGUAUUAACUUGGAGCGUGCUGAGAGAGAACAACUUGAGGAGAGGUUAAAAGAAGAGCGUGCUGAAAGGGAAAGAUUGUUGCAAGAGGAGCGAACAUCAAGACUGGAAUUUGAAAAAAACAUGAUGGCAAAGUUUGUAGAAUUGAGCAAAUAG
rnacentral:rRNA from 1 species